rnacentral:rRNA from 1 species
CAUGCAAGUCGAACGCGAAAGUGGGGGCAACCCUGCGAGUAGAGUGGCGAACGGGUGAGUAAUACAUCGGAACGUACCCAGGAGUGGGGGACAACCUCGAGAAAUCGAGGCUAAUACCGCAUACGUCCUGAGGGAGAAAGCGGGGGAUCCGUAAGGACCUCGCGCUCAUGGAGCGGCCGAUGUCGGAUUAGCUAGUUGGCGGGGUAAAGGCCCACCAAGGCUACGAUCCGUAGCUGGUUUGAGAGAACGACCAGCCACACUGGGACUGAGACACGGCCCAGACUCCUACGGGAGGCAGCAGUGGGGAAUUUUGGACAAUGGGGGCAACCCUGAUCCAGCCAUGCCGCGUGAGUGAAGAAGGCCUUCGGGUUGUAAAGCUCUUUCGGCCGGAACGAAAUCGUGUACGUGAAUAACGUGCGCGGAUGACGGUACUGGAAGAAGAAGCACCGGCUAACUACGUGCCAGCAGCCGCGGUAAUACGUAGGGUGCGAGCGUUAAUC